GUCUAUGACCAUACCACCCUGGAUGUACUGAUCUCGUCUGAUCUCAGAAGCUAAGUAGGGUUGGGCCUGGUUAGUAUGUGGAUGGGAGAAAUAAAUGGGGUAAAAAUUU
rnacentral:rRNA from 2 species